UCAAGCAAAUCAAUUAAUUAAACUACAAAACCAAAACUUAAACAAAACUAAAUAACCAUGUUUUGGUUUUGGCUCCAAAUUAUUUGGAAUUGACAUUAAAUAUUUUAGGUUUCCCACGUAAAAAAAAAAGGUUUCCCAUGUUUUGAGAAUUUGCUCUAUCUCAUAACCCUAUUCGACUCUUAUUUGGCGUAGCCUCCAUCUACUCUUUUCUCUCUUUCUCUAGCAAAUCAACAAUCCUUUCAGAUUCUUCUUUUUUAUUCAGUUCAUCCAUUUGAUUCUAACUCCCUCUUAUGUUCUUCUCCCUGAACAUCUCUUUCUUUAUUUUUAUCUCUCAGCGAUUUUUAGGAUUCAGAUUUCAAAGCUCUUUUCACUCACUAAUGGUCGAAACUUUUACCCUACUGCUUCUCAACGACUCCAAGGAUCUGUAAUGCCAAUGGAAUUUACUAGCUAGUCGAAAUGCAGAUACAACCACUACUUUGUAGUAGAUCUGACCACUACAGUGUUAAAGGCUUUCAUCGGGAGUAUAUGAACAGCCAAUGAUGAUGGCGGAGGUGUAGACAAGGGCGGAAGGAGAAGGAGGUAGUGGUGUGGGAGACCAGGAGUAUACGAAUCUCGUUUGGUUGCUGUGGUUUGACGGAGGCAAAGGAGGUGGUGGUGUAGGAGACCAGUUUACCCUAAUUUGCUUUGCUUUGGUUUGUAUCAUAUUUGGUUUCUAAUACCAGGUUAAUUUUUGUAACCAGUUAACCGAUAUGUAGUUUGGGUUGUCAAUAAAAUAUAUUCUAAUUACAAA